rnacentral:lncRNA from 13 species
CAUGUAAUAAUUUUAUUAGAAUUGUUUAAACACCAAUCAUAGUCAAACUAUCGCAAACUGUUUGACUUCAAAAAUACAAUACCUUUUUUAAAAAAAUAUCCGUUUAGGAUCCAACAUAGGCAGCUCACUGAAAAGAGCCGUUUAGGAUCCAACAUAGCCAGCUCACUGAAAAGAGCCGGAAUGCCCAUCACUACAAGAUCCGCCAACCCAAUUCCAAAGAAGAUAAGAAUAUUAUAGAAUAAGUUUCAGUGGAACCCUGCUAAACUGCAAAAAAUAUAUAUUCAAGCCGCUUCACGGAUUAGUUUACAUAAAAAUCACUUCCAAACCAAAUGGUAUAAAGAUAUAAGAUGAUCUUACUCGGAAGUACUUAGUGAAUUGCUCAAUAUGCGCAUCGAGCGCAGCCUUGACUCUCUUUAGAACGCAGCAGGUAAUCUCGCGAUAACAGCACAGAUCUUGUUCUCGGAAAGGAGGGAGUUCGAAGUUAUGCUAGCUAGCUGUUGUUACUAUCUAUAACUACCCAACUAGUCAACUUUUUAAACGUCAAGUUCCAAGAAGCUACAGCAACCUUGUAAACAGUUGACCAUGGACAUCGUAGCUCCCGUAAAUAAGCUACAGCAACCUUGUAAACAGUUGACCAUGGACAUUGAGGAUGACACAACGGUGUUCUCCACUCUGAAGUCCUUUAAGAGUUUCAUCUCUCUUCCGGACACGUCUCGGAACCAGAGAGAACCCGCCCCGGUGCAGAGCCACGUCCUACAGAACCAGUACCUGCAGAGAUUACAGUUGCUGGAGGCAGCAGAGAAGGUUCAGUCUAAGACCCAGCUGAUCCAGAUGGNNNNNNNNNNUGUGUAUGUAAGACACAGGAAGUGACCCGUGUGUCUCUGUGUGUAGUUGCUGGAGGCAGCAGAGAAGGUUCAGUCUGAAACCUGUGUAUGUAAGACACAGGAAGUGACCCAUGUGUCUCUGUGUGUAGUUGCUGGAGGCAGCAGAGAAGGUACAGUCUGAAACCUGUGUAUGUAAGACACAGGAAUUGACCCGUGUGUCUCUGUGUGUAGUUGCUGGAGGCAGCAGAGAAGGUUCAGUCUGAAACCUGUGUAUGUAAGACACAGGAAGUGACCCGUGUGUCUCUGUGUGUAGUUGCUGGAGGCNNNNNNNNNNNNNNNNNNNNNNNNNNNNNNNNNNNNNNNNNNNNNNNNNNNNNNNNNNNNNNNNNNNNNNNNNNNNNNNNNNNNNNNNNNNNNNNNNNNNNNNNNNCAUACACCUGGAGGUAACACAUACACAUACACCUGGAGGUAACACAUACACCUGGAGGUAACACAUACACAUACACCUGGAGGUAACACAUACACAUACACCUGGAGGUAACACACACAUACACCUGGAGGUAACACACACAUACACCUGGAGGUAACACACACACACUUACACAUACACCUGGAGGUAACACACACACACACACAUACACCUGGAGGUAACACACACACACACCUGGAGUAUUCUGUGUAUUCAUAUUCUGUGUUCUGUGUUCUAAAUUCAGUGUUCUGACUUCUAUGGCCCACGUUCUAAUUGUUCCAGCGUGAGGUGGACCGUAACCAGGACCUGCUGGGACGAAUCAGACGCCUGGAAGAGAGGGAGGCGGAGUCUAGCCAGAGCCUAUCGGAAAAGGCAGAGGCAAACCGUGCUCUACAUCGGACCCUAGAGUCUCUCAACAGAAGGGUGGAGGAGAGGGACGGAUGGCUCAACACCUCUAACCAGGUAUCCCUGUAACAGAGUUCAGAUUAUACCAUAAAAUCACUCCUCUAACCAGGUACACCUGUAACAGAGAUCAGAUUAUACCAUAAAAUCACUCCUCUAACCAGGUACACCUGUAUCAGAGAUCAGAUUAUACCAUCAGAUCACUCCUCUAACCAGGUCUACCUGUAACAGAGAUCAGAUUAUACCAUCAGAUCACUCCUCUAACCAGGUACACCUGUAACAGAGAUCAGAUUAUACCAUAAAAUCACUCCUCUAACCAGGUACACCUGUAACAGAGAUCAGAUUAUACCAUAAAAUCACUCCUCUAACCAAACCUACCUGUAACAGAGUUCAGAUUAUACCAUAAAAUCACUCCUCUAACCAGUUACACCUGUAACAGAGAUCAGAUUAUACCAUAAAAUCACUCCUCUAACCAGGUACACCUUUAACAGAGAUCAGAUUAUACCAUAAAAUCACUCCUCUAACCAGGUACACCUGUAACAGAGAUCAGAUUAUACCAUAAAAUCACUCCUCUAACCAGGUACACCUGUAACAGAGAUCAGAUUAUACCAUAAAAUCACUCCUCUAACCAGGUACACCUGUAACAGAGAUCAGAUUAUACCAUAAAAUCACUCCUCUAACCAGGUACACCUGUAACAGAGGUCAGAUUAUACCAUCAGAUCACUCCACAACUUUAUGUCUCCACUAGGGGUCGACUGAUGAGGAUUUUUCAACGCUGAUAAAGUUUUAUUGGAGGAUCAAAAAAAGACAAUGCCGAUUUUUACAUAUUUAAUAAUGACAAUUACAACAAUACUGAAUGAACACUUUUAUUUUUAACUUUAUAUAAUACAUAAAUCAACUCUAUUUAGUCUCAAAUAAAUAAUGAAACAUGUUCAAUUUGGUUUAAAUAAUGCAAAAACACAGUGUUGGAGAAGAAAGUAAAAGUGCAAUAUGUGCUAUGUAAGAAAGCUAACGUUUGAGUUCCUUGCUCAGAACAUGAGAACAUGUGAAAGCUGGUGGUUCAACAUUCCCAGUUCUUCAUUAUUCCCAGUUAAGACGUUUUAGGUUGUAGUUAUUAUAGGAAUUAUGACAUGUUGACUAUUUCUCUCUCUACCAUUUGUAUUUCAUAUACCUUUGACUAUUGGAUGUUCUAAUAGGCACUUUAGUAUUGCCAGCCUAAUCUCAGGAGUUGAUAGGCUUGAAGUCAUAAACAGCGCUGUGGUUCAAGCAUUGCUAAGAGCUGCUGGCAAACUCAGUAAAGCUUGAAUGAAUGAUUACGAGCCUGCUGCUGCCUGCCACCACUCAGACUGACUGCUCUAUCAAAUAUCAAAUCAUAGACUUAAUUAUAAUAUAAUAAACACAGAAAUACGAGCCUUUGGUCAUUAACAAAUCCGGAAACUAUCAUUUAGAAAACAAAACGUUUAUUCUUUCAGUGAAAUACGGAACCGUUCUGUAUUUUAUCUAACGGGUGGCAUCCCUAAGUCUAAAUAUUGCUGUUACAUUGUACAACCUUCAAUAUUAUGUCAUAACUAUGUACAAUUCUGGCAAAUUAGCAACGAGCCAGGCGGCCCACUCUGUUGUAUAUACCCCGACUCUGCGUGCAAUGAACGCAAGAGAAGUGACACAAUUUCCCUAGUUUAAUAUGGCCUGCUAACAUUAAUUGCUUUUAACUAAAUAUGCAGGUUUAAGAAAUAUAUACUUCUGUGUAUUGAUUUUAAGAAAGGCAUUGAUGUUUAUGGUUAGGUACAUUCGUGCAACGAUUGUGCUUUUGUUAAAUCAUCACCCGUUUGGUAGGCUGUGAUUCGAUGAUAAAUUAACAGGCACCGUAUCGACUAUAUGCAACGCAGGACAAGCUAGUUAACCUGGUAAUAUCAUCAACCAUGUGUAGUUAACUAGUGAUGAUGUGAAGAUUGAUUGUUUUUUUUAUAAGAUAAGUUUAAUGCUAGCUAGCAACUUACCUUGGCUCCUACUGCACUCGCGUACCAGGUGGUCAGCCUGCCACUCAGGCUCCUCGUGUAAUGUAAUGUAAUGUAAUGUAAUGUAAUGUAGUGUAAUGUAGUGUAAUGUAGUGUAAUGUAAUGUAAUGUAGUGUAAUGUAGUGUAAUGUAAUGUAAUGUAGUGUAAUGUAAUGUAAUGUAGUGUAAUGUAAUGUAAUGUAGUGUAAUGUAAUGUAAUGUAAUGUAGUGUAAUGUAAUGUAGUGUAAUGUAAUGUAGUGUAAUGUAAUGUAAUGUAAUGUAGUGUAAUGUAAUGUAAUGUAAUGUAGUGUAAUGUAAUGUAAUGUAAUGUAGUGUAGUGUAAUGUAGUGUAGUGUAAUGUAAUGUAAUGUAAUGUAAUGUAGUGUAGUGUAAUGUAAUGUAAUGUAAUGUAGUGUAGUGUAAUGUAAUGUAAUGUAAUGUAAUGUAGUGUAAUGUAAUGUAAUGUAAUGUAAUGUAAUGUAAUGUAGUGUAGUGUAAUGUAGUGUAAUGUAGUGUAAUGUAAUGUAAUGUAAUGUAAUGUAGUGUAGUGUAAUGUAGUGUAAUGUAGUGUAAUGUAGUGUAAUGUAAUGUAAUGUAAUGUAAUGUAAUGCAUUACAUUACAUUACAUUACAUUACAUUACAUUACAUUACAUUACACGAGGAGCCUGAGUGGCAGGCUGACCACCUGGUACGCGAUUGUUAUGAAAACUAGAAAUCGUCCCUAAUUAACCGGUCGACCUCUAGUCUCCACUCACAUCGUCAAAUUGCUACUUUUCUGUGGAGUAACUCAUUAGUUAUCCUAUUUAUAUAUAUAUAUAUACAUUUUAAAUCCCAACCCGCGUCCCCGCAGGAGGCAGCUGUAGAAGGUGAGCGGUUUAAAGGAUGAGAUUGAGGAUGAGAUGGAUGACUACACUGUUAUUUGGCCCUGUAGAGGGUGAGCGGUUUAUAGGAUGAGGUUGAGGAUGAGAUUGAUGACUACACUGUGUUAUUUGGCCCUGUAGAGGGUGAGCGGUUUAUAGGAUGAGGUUGAGGAUGAGAUUGAUGACUACACUGUGUUAUUGGUCCCUGUAGACGGUGAGCGGUUUAAAGGAUGAGGUUGAGGAUGAGGUUGAUGACUACACUGUGUUAUUUGUCCCUGUAGACGGUGAGCGGUUUAUAGGAUGAGGUUGAGGAUGAGGAUNNNNNNNNNNUAGAAAUCGUCCCUAAUUAACCGGUCGACCUCUAGUCUCCACUCACAUCGUCAAAUUGCUACUUUUCUGUGGAGUAACUCAUUAGUUAUCCUAUUUAUAUAUAUAUAUAUACAUUUUAAAUCCCAACCCGCGUCCCCGCAGGAGGCAGCUGUAGAAGGUGAGCGGUUUAAAGGAUGAGAUUGAGGAUGAGAUGGAUGACUACACUGUUAUUUGGCCCUGUAGAGGGUGAGCGGUUUAUAGGAUGAGGUUGAGGAUGAGAUUGAUGACUACACUGUGUUAUUUGGCCCUGUAGAGGGUGAGCGGUUUAUAGGAUGAGGUUGAGGAUGAGAUUGAUGACUACACUGUGUUAUUGGUCCCUGUAGACGGUGAGCGGUUUAAAGGAUGAGGUUGAGGAUGAGGUUGAUGACUACACUGUGUUAUUUGUCCCUGUAGACGGUGAGCGGUUUAUAGGAUGAGGUUGAGGAUGAGGAUG